UGGGGAAUAUUGCACAAUGGGCGAAAGCCUGAUGCAGCAACGCCGCGUGAGUGAUGAAGGCCUUCGGGUUGUAAAGCUCUGUCUUUUGGGACGAUAAUGACGGUACCAAAGGAGGAAGCCACGGCUAACUACGUGCCAGCAGCCGCGGUAAUACGUAGGUGGCGAGCGUUGUCCGGAUUUACUGGGCGUAAAGGAUGCGUAGGCGGAUAUUUAAGUGAGAUGUGAAAUACCCGAGCUUAACUUGGGUGCUGCAUUUCAAACUGGAUAUCUAGAGUGCGGGAGAGGAGAAUGGAAUUCCUAGUGUAGCGGUGAAAUGCGUAGAGAUUAGGAAGAACACCUGUGGCGAAGGCGAUUCUCUGGACCGUAACUGACGCUGAGGCAUGAAAGCGUGGGUAUCAAACA
rnacentral:rRNA from 1 species